UCAGUCCCCCAAGUAGCUGGGACUGUAGGGGCAUGCCACAACACCUGGCUAAUUUUUGUAUUUUUUGUAGAAAGGGGUAUCACAGUGUUGCCCAGCUUGGUCUUGAACUUCUGGGCUCAAGCAGUCUCCCCACCUCAGCCUCCCAAAGUGCUGGGACUACAGGCAUGAGCCACGACACCAGCCUAGUCUUUUUUUUUAGGU
rnacentral:lncRNA from 1 species